rnacentral:rRNA from 1 species
CCCUUAGAUGUUCUGGGCCGCACACGCGCUACACUGAAGGAGGCAGCGUGUACUCCUGGAUCGAAAGAUUUGGGUAACCCGCGAAUCUCCUUCGUGCUAGGGAUUGAGGUUUGCAAUUAUCCUUCAUGAACGAGGAAUUCCCAGUAAGUGCAAGUCAUAAGCUUGCGCUGACUACGUCCCUGCCCUUUGUACACACCGCCCGUCGCUACUACCGAUUGAAUGAUUUAGUGAGGACUUCGGACUGGGACCGAUGCGGCUUUCGGGCUGCGUCGGUAUUCUGGAAAGAUGUCCAAACUGUAUCAUUUAGAGGAGGUAAAAGUCGUAACA